UACGUAGGGUGCAAGCGUUGUCCGGAAUUAUUGGGCGUAAAGAGCUCGUAGGCGGUCUGUCGCGUCGGCUGUGAAAACCCGGAGCUCAACUCCGGGCCUGCAGUCGGUACGGGCAGACUGGAGUACUGCAGGGGAGACUGGAAUUCCUGGUGUAGCGGUGGAAUGCGCAGAUAUCAGGAGGAACACCGGUGGCGAAGGCGGGUCUCUGGGCAGUAACUGACGCUGAUGCACGAAAGCUAGGGGAGCAAACAGG
rnacentral:rRNA from 1 species